ensembl:lncRNA
GGGACCCUCUCAACCAUCGCGGGUCCAGCGGUUCUAACCCCGGUAGCUCUCAGCAAAGCUGGAAGGGACCCUCUGAAUCAUCGCCUGUCUGGCGGUUCUAACCCCCGGUAGCUCUCCGGUCUGGGGAGAUCCCCACACAGACACCCCCCAGAAAACCUGGCUUUCCCAACCGGAGGUCUUCCAGAUGUGGGAGACUACGGCUUCCAUCGUCCUCAUCCAGUAUCAGCCAUGAUGGUUCCUCAUGUCUGGAAGCCUCAGGUGGGAAGAGCCUGGAGUCCCAGGUAAAGCAGGCUGGUGUCCUCUGUUGUUGUCCUGUGCGACUCUCUCAGCCCGGGGGCUUCCAUCUCUCUCUUCCUUCCCCCCCCCCUCAUGAAAUAAAUAGGAGGCAAGCAGGGAAGGCGUUGGCAGGAGACCUGUUGGAUCCGUCAGCUUCCCACCUAGCUCCACAUCCACGUUCUCGCAGUGGGCAGGCGGGGGGGCCUCCCGGGAUGUUCAGAAGCACAACCGAGCCUCUUGCCUUUUGUCCUCGACUCUAGCUGCGUUUCACAGAUAGCCUGCCUCUCCCCUUGGAGGCUCCACCGAAUCCUUGUCACAAUGACAUCCUUCAAAAAAUUUUCCCCAGAGCUUCCUCUAAAGAGUUUGCUGGUGGAUUUGGAUGGUGUCCUGUGUCCGUGGAUGGGUGUAGACAAAUUGUGUGUGUGUGUGUGUGUUCCCCCCUCCCCCCACUCAAGUCUUCUGCUUGGUGUACGAGGAUGCUUGAGGUUUGCCCAAGCUGGAUCCCACCUUGUGGGUUCCAAGCGGUGUUGAACCACCGAAGGGCUGAACCCCAACAGCGGGCCUUGGGCACCCCUCUGAGACCAGACAGCAAAAGAACACAAUCCGUGUUGUGGGGGGGGGCUGUGCCAUGAAAAUCCACAGCCUGCCCUCCUCUCCCUACGGCCCGGCCGUCUGUCUCCAGGGUCUCCCAGGGAGGGGCCCGUUCUGGAGUUGUUCCUGUUCGGGUUUUCUUCAAGGACGGCUGGCUUCCCCUCAUCCUGGCAGCCUUUCCCCUGCGCAUGGCGUGAACAGAAGACCUCGCUGGAGAGGAAGACGAGAUGCCGCCCUUCCGAUUCAGGCCGAACGGCCGAAUGAGGACCAACUGCAGCCAGUGCGAGAAGACCCUGACCCUCCAGACGUCCGUGAAGGUGCUCGGCGUCUUUGUCAUCCUGCUGGUGGUGGCCGUGGUGGUCCUGGCGGCUUUGGUCUUUAAGAAGAUGGAUUCUAUCUCUGAUGAUGUGAACUCUGCCCAGGCAUACUACGAGAAGACGCUUGAGUCAGUUCAGGAGAACCUUCAAGAGCUGGGUAAGCGUGAGGCCAUCUCGAGUGCAUUUCACCUGUGUUCAGGUGGUGCUUUCUGAAACACGAGCCUGUCCAGGUGUUAAGAUCAUCAGGGCGUACCUUUCUGUCACAGCUAAAUUUGGUGGGGACACAGGAAAGAAGCCCUUCUCUGUGGCUGCUCCUUUAGACUCUGGAACUCCCUGCCACCGGAGGCCAGUCUGGCCCCAUCUUGGCCGUCCUUCUAUAAGCAGCUGAAAGACCUUUCUCUUCAGGCAAGCUUUCCUACGAUGACAAGCUCUCUAAAAUUUUUAAAUGAGAUCGGUUGCAUGUUGUUGCUUUUAAAUCUAUUUUCACAAUGCUUUUUUUUUUUUUAACCACAGAGAAGCUACAUGUUUAUAAAAACACUCAGCAUUAAGUAUAUGUAAAAGUUUACACAGUCGUAUGUGGUCUGGCAAGAAUGGCCGCAUUCAAGAACUUUGCCCCUUUGUUCAGUGUCUGGCUUUGUUAAAAGAGCUUUCCAGGGGAGAGAAUAAAUGAGCCAGACGCCUAAACGAGGAGAAGGAC